rnacentral:rRNA from 1 species
UACGUAGGGUGCGAGCGUUAAUCGGAAUUACUGGGCGUAAAGCGUGCGCAGGCGGUUUUGUAAGCCAGAUGUGAAAUCCCCCGGGCUUAACCUGGGAAUGGCAUUUGGGACUGCAAGGCUUGAGUGCGGCAGAGGAGACUGGAAUUCCUGGUGUAGCAGUGAAAUGCGUAGAUAUCAGGAGGAAUACCGAUGGCGAAGGCAGGUCUCUGGGCUGACACUGACGCUCGUGCACGAAAGCGUGGGGAGCAAAGCAGGAGUUAGAAACCCCG